GCAGCUUAUGACCUUGAGUUUGCUCACGUGAUGUUUCUUUCCUUUUCUAUCACUGUGGGAAGUUUUUCUAACACAACAAAGUGAUAGUUUUGUUACUAGCUCAAAUUAACUAAACUUGGCAUUAACUGGCUGAAUCAGAGGGAUGAAAUGAUUGGAUAUGUUGAUGAAAGGUGAUAAGACAGAUCAAUGGACAAUGCCCAAAGUAAGACACUGAGAAAUGGCCAAAUUAAGAGGUAUGCUCGUGACGGGUCUGUUGAAUAUGCUGAUAGGAUAAAAUAUGGACAAUACGUUGACUGCAGAGAGACCAAUCUGAAAGCAAAGAGUCAUCAAAGGAGUGAAGUUAAAGGAAAGCAUAAAAGCAAGGAAGUUAAGUGUGGCAUUGUCAUCAUUGUCAUAAACCAGCCUUCAAUAUCUGUCUGGACCAUCCCAGCCAACAAUGCACCCUUUGCUUCAUGAACAGAGUGGCCGUCUUUUCCAAGCAAAGUAACAGCUUGGAUUUGCUCUGCUUCUCCAUGUGUGAAAAUCCCUGAACAAAAACAAGACUUUGUGGCUGAAACCCACCUGCUCUCCUGACUCCUCUCUCUGGCUGUUCUGCAGCCUGCAUGGCAGAAGGCUGCUACAAAGUGGCCAUCAUGGCUUCCUGCUCUCCUGGACUCCCUGGUUCGCUCGCAGCAGCUGUUAUGCUGGUACCCUUGGAGACCAAGAUUUCCAAGUCCUUGGCCACCUCCUGGGACAGAUAUACAACUCCAGAUGGACAGACAGAGUUUCUCAGGGGGUUGUGACCUAACUCCCUAGAUGCCUCCAGGGAAUAGGCUAGAACAGUCAGAAGAAGCAGAGGCCAGUGGAGCAGCAAGGGUGAUGUCCCUCUACCUGGUUGCAGCACUGUCCCACAAUAAGGGAGAUCCAGUUUUGAUGUUCCCUUCUGAAUGGAGGGAUCUGAGCCCACAUAGUGUUCUGGGAAGUGAUGUGUUCCCUUUCCUGCUGACUCUAUUUCAAAGCUAUACAGGGACAAUGAUUCUCUGUCCUACUGAUUAGGGCAGGGGUUUUCAACCUUUUUUUUUUAAUGAGCGUACGCCCUCUCUCUCAAAGUUUCAGCCCAUGUACCCCAUUAUAUUUUCUCUUGUUUGUAAGGGGCAGGAAGGGGGCAGAUUGAUGCCUCCGCGGUGAGGAAGGGAGUGGGGCUGGGGCUGGGGCUUGGGCUGGGGCUGCACAGCUGAGGCGGAGCAUGGCAUGGAGCUGUGAACAUCUCGUCCAGGGGGUAAAGGGAGGGGGGGUGACUCCCACCACUGCACACACCCCAGGAUGGCAUGUGGGGCACAUGCCCCCAGAUCUGUGUGAAGGGCAGGGCACACUGGCCCAGCAGUGGGGGAGGGAGUGGGGCUGGGGCAGGGGCAGGGACUGCCUAGCCAGGGUGAGGAGAGGGACAGUUGUGCAGGGGGUGGCCCCCGCCACUACAGGCACCCCUGGGAAGGCAUGGGGGGCAUGUGCCCCUGGAUCUAUGUGCAGGGCAGGGUGGGCUGCCACUGUGGGCUGGGGACAGUACUCGGCUCUUCCGGGAGGUGGGGAGGCUGGGUUGGGCUACACUUGGGGAGGGUGGUAGUGGUGCUGGGAGAGGGGGCCAGGGGACUACAGCAAAUUCUGGAGUGGCUGCAGCCCCUCCCAUAGCCCCCUCACAGUGCCACCACCACC